rnacentral:rRNA from 1 species
CCAGUCCUUCGGGACUGGGGAAAGCGGCGAACGGGUGAGUAACACGUGGGUAAUCUGCCCUCGGCACUGGGAUAGCCCGGGGAAACCCGGAUUAAUACCGGAUAGCCUUUCGAGCCUUCGGGCUCGUCAGAAAAGGUGGCUUCGGCUUCCGGCUGAGGAUGAGCCCGCGGCGGAUAAGCUUGUUGGUGAGGUAAUGGCUCACCAAGGCUCCGAUCUGUAGCUGGUCUGAGAGGACGAUCAGCCACACUGGGACUGAGACACGGCCCAGACUCCUACGGGAGGCAGCAGUAGGGAAUCUUGCGCAAUGGGCGAAAGCCUGACGCAGCGACGCCGCGUGCGGGAAGAAGGCCUUCGGGUUGUAAACCGCUUUCAGGAGGGACGAAGCCACUCGGGUUAAUAGCCCAGAGGGUGACGGUACCUCCAGAAGAAGCCCCGGCUAACUACGUGCCAGCAGCCGCGGUAAUACGUAGGGGGCAAGCGUUGUCCGGAUUUAUUGGGCGUAAAGAGCGUGUAGGCGGCCAGAUAGGUCAGCUGUGAAAACUCGAGGCUCAACCUCGAGAUGUCGGCUGAAACCAUCUGGCUAGAGUCCGGAAGAGGAGAAUGGAAUUCCCGGUGUAGCGGUGAAAUGCGCAGAUAUCGGGAAGAACACCCGUGGCGAAGGCGGUUCUCUGGGACGGUACUGACGCUGAGACGCGAAAGCGUGGGGAGCGAACAGGAUUAGAUACCCUGGUAGUCCACGCCGUAAACGAUGGGAACUAGGUGUGGGCGGUGUCGACUCCGUCCGUGCCGAAGCUAACGCAUUAAGUU